UACGUAGGGUGCAAGCGUUUGUCCGGAAUUAUUGGGCGUAAAGAGCUCGUAGGCGGUCUGUCGCGUCGAUCGUGAAAACUUGGGGCUUAACCCUGAGCUUGCGGUCGAUACGGGCAUGACUGGAGUUCGGCAGGGGAGACUGGAAUUCCUGGUGUAGCGGUGAAAUGCGCAGAUAUCAGGAGGAACACCGGUGGCGAAGGCGGGUCUCUG
rnacentral:rRNA from 1 species